rnacentral:rRNA from 1 species
AUUGAACGCUGGCGGCAUGCCUUACACAUGCAAGUCGAACGGCAGCGCGGACUUCGGUCUGGCGGCGAGUGGCGAACGGGUGAGUAAUACAUCGGAACGUACCCUGUUGUGGGGGAUAACUAGUCGAAAGAUUAGCUAAUACCGCAUACGACCUGAGGGUGAAAGGGGGGGACCGCAAGGCCUCACGCAGCAGGAGCGGCCGAUGUCUGAUUAGCUAGUUGGUGGGGUAAAGGCCCACCAAGGCGACGAUCAGUAGCUGGUCUGAGAGGACGAUCAGCCACACUGGGACUGAGACACGGCCCAGACUCCUACGGGAGGCAGCAGUGGGGAAUUUUGGACAAUGGGGGCAACCCUGAUCCAGCAAUGCCGCGUGUGUGAAGAAGGCCUUCGGGUUGUAAAGCACUUUUGUCCGGAAAGAAAUCGCGCUGGUUAAUACCUGGCGCGGAUGGCGGUACCGGAAGAAUAAGCACCGGCUAACUACGUGCCAGCAGCCGCCGCAG